AGAAGCUUAGGUUAAUAAAAGACCAAGAGCCUUCAAAGCUCUAAGUAAAUGUAUUGCAUUUAGUUUCUG
rnacentral:tRNA from 1 species